UACAGAGGGUGCAAGCAUUAAUCGGAUUUAUUGGGCGUAAAGGGCGCGUAGGCGGUAAGAUAAGUCAGAUGUGAAAUCCCGGGGCUCAACCCCGGAACAGCAUUUGAAACUGUCUUUCUAGAGGGUAGGCGGAGAAAACGGAAUUCCACAAGUAGCGGUGAAAUGCGUAGAUAUGUGGAAGAACACCGGUGGCGAAGGCGGUUUUCUAGCUUAUACCUGACGCUAAUGCGCGAAAGCAAGGGGAUCAAACAGG
rnacentral:rRNA from 1 species